CGCCUCUGGUUGGUUUAGCGUAGAACAGAGGUCAUACCUGCCCUGUGGUGUAAAAGCUUAACGGUGGCCUUACUCUGAGGGUCUCAAGGUAGCAUAUAAUAUAUCGGUUAAUUGCCGGAUAGGAUGAAUGGAUAAUAAUGAGAGGGUGGCUGUCUCUUGUUGAUUUAAUUGAAGUUAAUUUUUAGGUGAAAAAGCCUAAAUAAUCUGAUUAGACGAGAAGACCCCGUGAAACUUUAGUUUGUUUUUAAUGAGGUAAAUAAACAUAGUUGGAUCUUUUUUAAAAAAAUAACUUUAGGUGGGAAGCUUCAAAGGCAUAAAAACCCUUUGGAAUAAUAGGAUUUACUGACAGGUGUCGAACUGUUAAGUUUUAAAGGUAUUUGGAAUAAGUUACUCCGGGGGUAACAGCGUAAUUCCUCCUCGGAGGCCUUAUUCGGGGGGGGGGUUGCGACCUCGAUGUUGAAUGUGGUUUACCUUUAGCUGCAGCUGGUUAAAAAGGUGGGACUGUUCGUCCGGUAAAAAUCCCAACC
rnacentral:rRNA from 1 species